rnacentral:rRNA from 1 species
UACAGAGGGUGCAAGCGUUGCUCGGAAUCAUUGGGCGUAAAGGGUAGGUAGGUGGUCUCAUUUGUCUGGGGUGAAAGCCUUGAGCUUAACUCAAGAAGUGCCCCAGAAACGGUGAGACUAGAGUCCUGGAGAGGGUCGUGGAAUUCCCGGUGUAGCGGUGAAAUGCGUAGAGAUCGGGAGGAACACCAGAGGCGAAGGCGGCGACCUGGACAGGUACUGACACUCAACUACGAAAGCGUGGGGAGCAAACAGG